rnacentral:rRNA from 1 species
AACGAACGCUGGCGGCAUGCCUAACACAUGCAAGUCGAACGAGAUCUUCGGGUCUAGUGGCGCACGGGUGCGUAACGCGGGGGAAUCUGCCCUUUGGUUCGGAAUAACAGUUGGAAACGACUGCUAAUACCGGAUGAUGACGAAAGUCCAAAGAUUUAUCGCCAGAGGAUGAGCCCGCGUAGGAUUAGCUAGUUGGUGUGGUAAAGGCGCACCAAGGCGACGAUCCUUAGCUGGUCUGAGAGGAUGAUCAGCCACACUGGGACUGAGACACGGCCCAGACUCCUACGGGAGGCAGCAGUGGGGAAUAUUGGACAAUGGGCGAAAGCCUGACCCAGCAAUGCCGCGUGAGUGAUGAAGGCCUUAGGGUUGUAAAGCUCUUUUACCCGGGAUGAUAAUGACAGUACCGGGAGAAUAAGCUCCGGCUAACUCCGUGCCAGCAGCCGCGGUAA